UACAUGUGAACGUGUGGGGCCCUG
rnacentral:misc_RNA from 1 species